AUGAAGUUUUUGUAUGUCUUAGCUGGAUGGGAAGGUUCUGCAUCUGAUUCACGAGCGUUGCGAGAUGCAAUGUCACGACAACACGCUUUUAGAGUUCCACAUGGAAAAUACUACCUUGUAGAUGCUGGGUACACUAAUGGUCUGGUCUUCUUUGCUCCAUACCGGUCAGUCCGGUACCAUUUGAAAGAAUGGGCGGCUAAUGGAAAUAACUCACAAACUCCAAGAGAGUUAUAUAAUCUGCGACAUGCAUCAGCUAGGAAUGUCAUAGAGAGAACUUUUGGUCUACUAAAGAUGAGAUGGGCUAUUUUGAGGACUAGUUCAUUUUUCCGCAUACGGAAUCAGGUAUCACAUAGUAUUUUGCAAAACCAAGCCUCCGUUUAUUUUUAG
rnacentral:rRNA from 1 species